UACGGGGGGGGCAAGCGUUGUUCGGAAUUACUGGGCGUAAAGGGCGCGUAGGCGGUCUUGCAAGUCCUGUGUGAAAUCCCUCGGCUCAACUGAGGAACUGCACAGGAAACUGCUUGGCUUGAGUUCGGGAGAGGGAAGCGGAAUUCCGGGUGUAGCGGUGAAAUGCGUAGAUAUCCGGAGGAACACCGGUGGCGAAGGCGGCUUCCUGGACCGACACUGACGCUGAGGCGCGAAAGCUAGGGGAGCAAACAGG
rnacentral:rRNA from 1 species